UGGUAAAUUUCAUCUAAAGCUAAAUAUNNGGGCCAGGAGACCGAUAGCGCACAAGUAGAGUGAUCGAAAGAUGAAAAGCACUUUGAAAAGAGAGUUAAAAAGCAUGUGAAAUUGUUGAAAGGGAAGCGCUUGCCGCCAGACUUGUUUAUGGGGUUCAGCCGUCGUUCUCGGCGGUGUAUUUCCCUAUCAUCAGGCCAGCAUCAGUUUGGGUGGAAGGUUAAAGGCCUUGGGAAUGUACCAUCCCCCGGGAUGACUUAUAGCCCUCGGCGUAAUGCUUCCUACCUAGACUGAGGCACGCGUUCGCUAGGAUGCUGGCGUAAUGGCUGUAAGCGACCCGUCUUGAAACACGGACCAAGGAGUCUAACAUCUAUGCGAGUAUUUGGGUGUCAAACCCAUAUGCGUAAUGAAAGUGAACGGAGGUGGGAACCUUGUAGGCGCACCAUCGACCGAUCCAGAUGUCUUCGGAUGGAUUUGAGUAAGAGCAUAGCUGUUGGGACCCGAAAGAUGGUGAACUAUGCCUGAAUAGGGUGAAGCCAGAGGAAACUCUGGUGGAGGCUCGCAGCGGUUCUGACGUGCAAAUCGAUCGUCAAAUUUGGGUAUAGGGGCGAAAGCAGUCUUUCGUCGAUAUUUAACAAUUAGUCCAUAGUGGCGAGGCUUGUGGUCUGYRGGGAUCAACUGUAGUUAUGCCCGCACUUAUUGUAAUAGGUCACAGAUCAAGUACAGGUCGGCAUCAAUCUUCGGGUGUUCUAGAUAUGAUCGGUGGUGAAGUUUAGGCUUCCUCCGUUAAYGAGACUAAUCGAACCAUCUAACAAGCUAUUGGAUGGCACUCAGUCCUCAACCAUUGCGGGGGGGCAACGUCAAGA
rnacentral:rRNA from 1 species